AUGAGUAAGUGGUGCAUUUUGGUGGUUUUGGCUCUUGCUCUAGUUGGAACAAGUGCAAGAAAUGUGCCUGCUGGAGAGGCUGGCUUGAAGGAUGAGAAGACCUUUGGUGGAUUUUCAGGAAUUGGUAACAAUGGUUUUCCAUUUGGUGGUGGUGGACUUGGCGGACUAGGCGGUGGUGGACUCGGAGGAUUCAACGGGCUAGGCGGUGGACUAGGUGGAUCCAGUGGAUCCAGCGGUAGCGGACUUGGAGGUUCUGGUGACAAGUUAAUUAAUAUAUUUAAUCUAUUUUACUAUUCUUAA